UACGGAGGGUGCAAGCGUUGUUCGGAAUCACUGGGCGUAAAGGGCGUGUAGGCGGUCUAUCAAGUCUGGUGUGAAAUCCCCUCGCUCAACGAGGGAACUGCGCCGGAAACUGACAGACUAGAGUACCGGAGAGGAAGGUGGAAUUCCCGGUGUAGCGGUGAAAUUCGUAGAUAUCGGGAGGAACACCAGAGGCGAAGGCGGCCACCUGGACAGAGAUUGACGCUGAGACGCGAAAGCGUGGGGAGCAAACAGG
rnacentral:rRNA from 1 species